rnacentral:sRNA from 1 species
UCCCGGUUUGUGGUGAGCCUGGUACACUC